UCAAGCGACUAAGUGUAUGUGGUGGAUGCCUUGGCGAUCACAGGCGAUGAAGGACGUGACAGCCUGCGAAAAGCUGUGGGGAGCUGGCAAAUAAGCUUUGAUCCACAGAUGUCCGAAUGAGGGAACUCACCUGCUUUGCAGGUAUCCCAUCCUGAAUAUAUAGGGAUGGGAGGCGAACGAAGCGAACUGAAACAUCUAAGUAGCUUCAGGAAAAGAAAUCAACCGAGAUUCCGAAAGUAGCGGCGAGCGAAAUCGGAUCAGCCCAGCACUCGAUAGCAGCCAACUUACGGGAACGGUCUGGAAAGUCCGGCCAUAGAGGGUGAUAGCCCCUUACUGGAAAAGGCAGCUGCGGUACUAAGUGUGCGAUAAGUAGAGCGGGACACGUGACAUCCUGCUCGAAGAUGGGGGGACCAUCCUCCAAGGCUAAAUACUCGUGAUCGACCGAUAGCGUACCAGUACUGUGAAGGAAAGGUUAAAAGAACCCCGGGAGGGGAGUGAAAUAGAUCCUGAAACCGCAUACAUACAAACAGUAGGAGCCUCGUUAAGGGGUGACUGCGUACCUUUUGCAUAAUGGGUCAGCGACUUACGUUUAAUGGCGAGCUUAACCGUAUAGGGGAGGCGCAGCGAAAGCGAGUUCGAACAGAGCGUUCAGUCGUUAGGCGUAGACCCGAAACCAGAUGAUCUAUCCAUGGCCAGGUUGAAGGUGUGGUAACACACACUGGAGGACCGAACCGACUAGUGUUGCAAAAUUAGCGGAUGAGCUGUGGAUAGGGGUGAAAGGCUAAACAAAUCUGGAGAUAGCUGGUUCUCCCCGAAAACUAUUGAGGUAGUGCCUCGUGUAUGACUCCAGGGGGUAGAGCACUGUUAUGGCUAGGGGGACAUGGCGUCUUACCAAACCAUGGCAAACUCCGAAUACUUGGAAGUUUGAGCACGGGAGACAGAGCACCGGGUGCUAACGUCCGGACUCAAGAGGGAAACAACCCAGACCGCCGGCUAAGGUCCCUAAUAUUGACUAAGUGGAAAACGAAGUGGAAAGGCUAAGACAGUCAGGAAGUUGGCUUAGAAGCAGCCAUCCUUCAAAGAAAGCGUAAUAGCUCACUGAUCGAGUCUUUCUGCGCGGAAGAUGUAACGGGGCUAAGUCAAUAACCGAAGCCGCGGAUUCACACUUAUGUGUGAGUGGUAGGGGAGCGUUCUGUAAGCCUGCGAAGGUGACUCGUAAGGGUUGCUGGAGGUAUCAGAAGUGCGAAUGCUGACAUGAGUAACGUUAAAGCGGGUGAAAAGCCCGCUCGCCGUAAGCCCAAGGUUUCCUGCUCUACGUUCAUCGGAGCAGGGUGAGUCGGCCCCUAAGGUGAGGCUGAGAAGCGUAACUGAUGGGAACAAGGUUAAUAUUCCUUGACCACCGCUGAAUGCGAAGGGGGGACGGAGUAUUGAAGAUCAUCCGGGUGUUGGAUAUCCCGGUUUGCGAGCGUAGGAGGCUGACAGGCAAAUCCGUCAGCGAAUCUCCGAGGCGAAGCAUCGAGCUCUCUUUUGAGCGAAGUGAUUGGAUGUGCUUCCAGGAAAAGCCUCUAAGCUCCAGUUCAGCGGGACCGUACCGCAAACCGACACUGGUGGGCGAGCUGAAUAUGCUCAGGCGCUUGAGAGAACUCAGGAGAAGGAACUCGGCAAAUUGACACCGUAACUUCGGGAUAAGGUGUGCCUUUGUAGCGUGGAGGGAGAAACACCCCGAGCGCGAAGAGGUCUCAGAUAAUCGGUGGCUGCGACUGUUUAUUAAAAACACAGCACUCUGCAAAGACGAAAGUCGACGUAUAGGGUGUGAUGCCUGCCCGGUGCUGGAAGAUUAAUUGAUGGGGUGCAAGCUCCUGAUCGAAGUCCCAGUAAACGGCGGCCGUAACUAUAACGGUCCUAAGGUAGCGAAAUUCCUUGUC
rnacentral:rRNA from 1 species